UUUUUUUCAUUUAUGUUUUGUUUUUCACUUUUGUGUAGAUAUCCCACAGGUCAGACCAAAGCCUCAUUAUGUGAUGGUAAAGAAGGAUGCUGAAACCAAUGAAACGAUAUACUGUACAAAAGAGCCUUUCAUCCAGGCUCGGGUCAUUGUCAUUCGUUGGCUGGUUUCUUUCUGGCUGGAGCCAAAACCGCAUUCAGGACCUAAUAUUCCUGGGAUGGAGGGUGAAGUCUUGCCAAAGAAUAUUCAGGUAAUGUAUAAAUGAAGCGCAGUUAAGUGGCUUCCUCAGCUCACCUACCUUAAGGAUGCAGCAUAUUUAGAAUGGAUGCUAGUGAUGCUUUAUUUCAAUAAAUCUAGCUCAGAACUCAAACUUGAACUGU
rnacentral:lncRNA from 1 species